AUGAACCAUCUCGGGCUCGGAGAACCUCAGGGAGGAUCUCCUGCUGGUGCCCAGACUGCUGCUCUGUGCUGUCUGUGUUCAGCACUGGUUGCCAUGGCAGCACAGCUGAUUCAGGACGAUUUAACGUUGACCAGGAGAGUCGGUCAAAGCGUCUCCUUCAGCUGUCAACAAAUUGAUCAGUGUAGCAGCGAUUAUGUCUUCUGGUACCAGAAGAAAGAAACAGAAACAUUUAGACUGAUUCUUCGUAUUGAUAAGAGUAAUGGUAAAAUAUAUUCAGGUUACAAUCAUCCUCAGAGAGAUGAUUUCUCAGCUGUGAAUAAACAGAACGGCUGUGAGUUGAAGAUAGAGAACGUUAAACUCCAACAUUCAGCCACCUACUACUGCUACUGUUGGACAGGUUCCCACAUCUUUUUCACUGUGGACUACGUCUUUGGCUCUGGAACUAAACUGUAUGUAACAGAUGAGCAGGGAGUGAAGCCCGUGGUGAGCGUGUACCCAGCAGCAUCCAGAGCCCACCUGGAGGGGAAGAGCUCCCUGCUGUGUCUGGCCUCAGCCAUGUUUCCUCCUCUGGUCCGCUUCUCCUGGAAAAGACAGAAGGAGGACG